GUUCGUGUAAGUUCCAUUUGCAAGCUCAAUCAAAGCCUUGACAGCCACUUGCCGGCGAGCAGCCACCUCCGAUGCUACCAAAUCUACUAAGGCAGGAAUAACACCGAGCUCAGCCAUCAACUUUCUUGUCUUGACGUCUUCUUUGGCUAAUCUCAGAAUUUCCAUAGCCGCCAUCUCCUUCUCUUCCCAGCUUCCGAAGUGAAGUUUCU
rnacentral:misc_RNA from 1 species